AACGCACAUUGCGCCCGCCAGUAUUCUGGCGGGCAUGCCUGUUCGAGCGUCAUUUCAACCCUCAAGCUUUCCGGCUUGGUGUUGGGGAUCGGCAGCCCGGCCUAGCGCCGGAGGCCGUCCCCCAAAUGCAGUGGCGGUCACGCUGUAGCUUCCUAUGCGUAGUAGCACACCUCGCACUGGAGAGCAGCGCGGCCACGCCGUAAAACCCCCCAACUUUUUUGUGGUUGACCUCGAAUCAGGUAGGACUACCCGCUGAACUUAA
rnacentral:misc_RNA from 1 species